rnacentral:rRNA from 1 species
CCCUUAGACGUUCUGGGCCGCACGCGCGCUACACUGACGGAGCCAGCGAGUAUAAACCUUGGCCGAGAGGUCUGGGAAAUCUUGUGAGACUCCGUCGUGCUGGGGAUAGAGCAUUGUAAUUAUUGCUCUUCAACGAGGAAUUCCUAGUAAGCGCAAGUCAUCAGCUUGCGUUGAUUACGUCCCUGCCCUUUGUACACACCGCCCGUCGCUACUACCGAUUGAAUGGCUUAGUGAGGCUUCCGGAUUGGUUUAGAGAAGGGGGCAACUCCAUCUUGGAACCGAGAAGCUAGUCAAACUUGGUCAUUUAGAGGAAGUAAAAGUCGUAACA